CCUACGGGAGGCAGCAGUAAGGAAUAUUGGACAAUGCUCGCAAGAGUGAUCCAGCCAUGCCGCGUGCAGGAAGAAUGCCCUAUGGGUAGUAAACUGCUUUUGAACUAGAGAAAAUCCCAGUACGUGUACUGGGCUGAUAGUAUAGUUAGAAUAAGCAUCGGCUAACUUCGUGCCAGCAGCCGCGGUAAGACGAAGGAUGCAAGCGUUAUCCGGAUUCAUUGGGUUUAAAGGGAGCGUAGGUGGACUGAUAAGUCAGUGGUGAAAUCUCCGAGCUUAACUCGGAAAUUGCCAUUGAUACUGUUGGUCUUGAGUACAGUUGCUGUGGGCGGAAUAUGACAUGUAGUGGUGAAAUACAUAGAGAUGUCAUAGAACACCGAUUGCGAAGGCAGCUCACAAAGCUGUAACUGACACUGAGNUCGAAGUAGNGGGAGUACAACAGAGUAGAUACCUACGUAGUCGCACCGUAACG
rnacentral:rRNA from 1 species